GCCUCCGAGGAUGAUCAAAAGAAUAAACUUUCGUUCUACCGAGCUGUUUUCAUGCAGAAAACUAUUUGGAGACCUGAACUGAGGAGGC